UACGAAGGGGGCUAGCGUUGUUCGGAAUUACUGGGCGUAAAGGGCGCGUAGGCGGUUUACCAAGUCAGAAGUGAAAGCCCUGGGCUCAACCCGGGAAUUGCUUUUGAAACUGGUAAGCUUUGAGUUCGAGAGAGGUAAGUGGAAUAUCCAGUGUAGAGGUAAAAUUCGUAGAUAUUGGAUGGAACACCAGUGGCGAAGGCGGCUUACUGGCUCGAUACUGACGCUGAGGCGCGAAAGCGUGGGGAGCAAACAGG
rnacentral:rRNA from 1 species